GGAAUAUUGGUCAAUGGACGAAAGUCUGAACCAGCUAUGCCGCGUGGAGGAUGAAGGCCCUCUGGGUUGUAAACUUCUUUUAUAUGGGACGAAAAAGGGACUUUCUAGUCCAACUGACGGUACCAUGUGAAUAAGCACCGGCUAACUCCGUGCCAGCAGCCGCGGUAAUACGGAGGGUGCAAGCGUUAUCCGGAUUCACUGGGUUUAAAGGGAGCGUAGGUGGGUUGGUAAGUCAGUGGUGAAAUCCCCGAGCUUAACUUGGGAACUGCCAUUGAUACUAUCAGUCUUGAAUACCGUGGAGGUCAGCUGAAUAUGUCAUGUAGCGGUGAAAUGCUUAGAUAUGACAUAGAACACCAAUUGCGAAGGCAGCUGGCUACACGAAUAUUGACACUGAGGCACGAAAGCGUGGGGAUCAAAC
rnacentral:rRNA from 1 species